AAUUACCCCGGUAGUCCACGCCGUAAACGAUGAGUGCUAAGUGUUAGGGGGUUUCCGCCCCUUAGUGCUGCAGCUAACGCAUUAAGCACUCCGCCUGGGGAGUACGGUCGCAAGACUGAAACUCAAAGGAAUUGACGGGGGCCCGCACAAGCGGUGGAGCAUGUGGUUUAAUUCGAAGCAACGCGAAGAACCUUACCAGGUCUUGACAUCCCACUGACCGCUAUGGAGACAUAGUUUUCCCUUCGGGGACAGUGGUGACAGGUGGUGCAUGGUUGUCGUCAGCUCGUGUCGUGAGAUGUUGGGUUAAGUCCCGCAACGAGCGCAACCCUUGAUCUUAGUUGCCAUCAUUUAGUUGGGCACUCUAAGGUGACUGCCGGUGACAAACCGGAGGAAGGUGGGGAUGACGUCAAAUCAUCAUGCCCCUUAUGACCUGGGCUACACACGUGCUACAAUGGACGGUACAAACGGUUGCCAACCCGCGAGGGGGAGCUAAUCCGAUAAAAUCGUUCUCAGUUCGGAUUGUAGGCUGCAACUCGCCUACAUGAAC
rnacentral:rRNA from 1 species